AGGCCAAGCACAGUACUACAUCAAUAUCAGGAUUAAGAAGGAUGGCGUUGAGCCCGUCUGCAUCUUUAAUGU